rnacentral:tmRNA from 1 species
GGGGCUGAUUCUGGAUUCGACGGGAUUUGCGAAACCCAAGGUGCAUGCCGAGGGGCGGUUGGCCUCGUAAAAAGCCGCAAAAAAAUAGUCGCAAACGACGAAAACUACGCUUUAGCAGCUUAAUAACUCCGCUCUUAAGACGGGGAUCAAAGAGAGGUCAAACCCAAAAGAGAUCGCGUGGAGGCCCUGCCUGGGGUUGAAGCGUUAAAUCUAAUCAGGCUAGUCUGGUAGUGGCGUGUCCGUCCGCAGGUGCCAGGCGAAUGUAAAGACAGACUAAGCAUGUAGUACCGAGGAUGUAGGAAUUUCGGACGCGGGUUCAACUCCCGCCAGCUCCACCA